CUACGGGCCGCUCCAGUGAGGAAUUUUGCGCAAUGGGGGGGACCCUGACGCAGCAACGCCGCGUGAGUGAUGAAGGCUUUCGGGUCGUAAAGCUCCGUCAAGUGGGAAGAACCUAUGCAGUGUUAAUAUCACUGUAUACUGACGGUACCACUGAAGGAAGCACCGGCUAACUCCGUGCCAGCAGCCGCGGUAAUACGGGGGGUGCAAGCGUUAUUCGGAAUCAUUGGGCGUAAAGGGCACGUAGGCGGCUUGGUAAGUCAGAUGUGAAAGCCCGGGGCUUAACCCCGGAAGUGCAUUUGAUACUGUCAGGCUUGAGUAUGGGAGAGGGAAGUGGAAUUCCUGGUGUAGAGGUGAAAUUCGUAGAUAUCAGGAGGAACACCGGUGGCGAAGGCGACUUCCUGGACCAAUACUGACGCUGAGGUGCGAAGGCGUGGGUAGCAAACAGGAUUAGAUACCCCUGUAGUC
rnacentral:rRNA from 1 species